rnacentral:pre_miRNA from 1 species
AUGUAGUGUGACAUGCCCGUUUGGGAUUUACUCUGAUGUGUGCUUAAUUAUUAUUUAAUUACUUUUUGGGUAACAGGGUGUUACAGUGAG